rnacentral:lncRNA from 1 species
CUCCUGGGAAAGGGAGGAGCAUCGGGAGGCAGUGGGCGUCUCAGGGCUCAGGGCCAAGCCAGGAUCUCAGUAUUGAACUAUGAAAUGUGGCAACUGUGGUGAGAU